rnacentral:rRNA from 1 species
GACGAACGCUGGCGGCGUGCUUAACACAUGCAAGUCGAACGGGCCUGCCUGGCUUUGGUUGGGUGGGUGAGUGGCGAACGGGUGAGUAACACGUGAGUAACCUGCCCUCUUCUCUUGGAUAACUGCUUGAAAGGGCGGCUAAUACGGGAUGUUCUGGCUGCCUCGCAUGGGGUGGUUUGGAAAGAUUCGGCCUGGUUUUGGUUGUUUUGGUGGGGGAUGGGCUCGCGGCUUAUCAGCUUGUUGGUGGGGUGAUGGCCUACCAAGGCGGUGACGGGUAGCCGGCCUGAGAGGGUGGACGGUCACACUGGGACUGAGACACGGCCCAGACUCCUCGGGAGGCAGCAGUGGGGGAUUUUGCACAAUGGGCGCAAGCCUGAUGCAGCGACGCCGCGUGAGGGAUGGAGGCCUUCGGGUUGUGAACCUCUGUCGCCGGUGAUGUAGGCUCUGCUUUGUGGGUCG